UUGAACGCUGGCGGCAGGCCUAACACAUGCAAGUCGAGCGGAUGAAGGGAGCUUGCUCCUGGAUUCAGCGGCGGACGGGUGAGUAAUGCCUAGGAAUCUGCCUGGUAGUGGGGGAUAACGUCCGGAAACGGGCGCUAAUACCGCAUACGUCCUGAGGGAGAAAGUGGGGGAUCUUCGGACCUCACGCUAUCAGAUGAGCCUAGGUCGGAUUAGCUAGUUGGUGGGGUAAAGGCCUACCAAGGCGACGAUCCGUAACUGGUCUGAGAGGAUGAUCAGUCACACUGGAACUGAGACACGGUCCAGACUCCUACGGGAGGCAGCAGUGGGGAAUAUUGGACAAUGGGCGAAAGCCUGAUCCAGCCAUGCCGCGUGUGUGAAGAAGGUCUUCGGAUUGUAAAGCACUUUAAGUUGGGAGGAAGGGCAGUAAGUUAAUACCUUGCUGUUUUGACGUUAUCAACAGAAUAAGCACCGGCUAACUUCGUG
rnacentral:rRNA from 1 species